UAUGAAAGGCCACAGCACAAGUUGAAGAAAAUAAACCAUUUGGUGAAGAUUUCAUCUUUGAUUCUUGGUUGUCGGAUACGAAUAAAAAAUUAAUCCAGAACACUUAUGGAACAGGUUAUUAUUAUUUGCAAGAUAUUGAUGGUGAUGGAAACCCUGACGAUAAAGAAGAGAGCGGAGACACGAAUCCAUAUAUCGGGAAACCUGAAUUAGAAGAAGUAUAUGAUGUUGACACAACAGUUAAGGGGAAAGUAUUCAUCCACGAGUUAGCGGGAACAGGUCACAAAGCCCAACUUGUUGAUAAAGAAGGUACUGUAUUAGCAGAAAAAACUAUCGCUCCAAAUGAAAAAGAUGGGGCUCCAAUUUCAGAUACUGUAGAAUUUGAAUUUACGGGUGUAGAUUCAAGUAAAUUAAUCGCGAAAGAUGAAUUAAAAAUCCAAAUCGUUUCUCCAGGUUUUGAUAAACCAGAAGAAGGUUCAACCGUUAUUAAGGAAUCACCAAAAGCGGUUGAUAAACAAACCGUGGUAGUUGGAUUUAAACCAGAUGCUAAAGAAUCAAUUCGGAAUAAUAAAAACUUACCUGAAGAUGCAGAGUAUUCAUGGAAAACAGAGCCUGAUACUUUCUAACGUWACUGAUAGUACGAAAGGUAUUGUAACUGUUAAGAUCGGAAAUCGACUUUUUCGACG
rnacentral:misc_RNA from 1 species